UACGUAGGUGGCAAGCGUUGUCCGGAAUUAUUGGGCGUAAAGCGCGCGCAGGCGGUUUCUUAAGUCUGAUGUGAAAGCCCCCGGCUCAACCGGGGAGGGUCAUUGGAAACUGGGAAACUUGAGUGCAGAAGAGGAAAGUGGAAUUCCAAGUGUAGCGGUGGAAUGCGUAGAGAUUUGGAGGAACACCAGUGGCGAAGGCGACUUUCUGGUCUGUAACUGACGCUGAGGCGCGAAAGCGUGGGGAGCAAACAGG
rnacentral:rRNA from 1 species